AAGGAUUUAACUUAAUUAAAGUGUUUGAUUUGUAUUCAGUUGAUGUAGAUAGAGUCUUGCAAUCCUUU
rnacentral:tRNA from 1 species